GCUCUGAGAGAGACUGGUGUAUUAACGUCAGGGAACCACAAAAGAAAGAAACCACAGGAGCCAGCCAACAAUCAAUGAAUCUGGCUCACUCCUGCAAUGGCGGCUUCUGAAGUUUAUGGCAGCGCAUGGUUAAGGAAGGGGAGAGCGUUGGCAGCUAAACAAAUGGCAGAAUAAUGAUUAAGUGGAGAAACAGCUGGGUGCUGUAACAUACAGAUGAGCAAAAAUAAAGCUUUCUGGUUCUGUGGAAUGGGAGCCUAUGUUUAACAGAAGGAAGUUAGCAAGGAAAAGCCAUCUUCAAGGCCUUGUGGACCUAAUGGUGGGCUCGAACAAGCAAACAUUUAGAGAAUUGUGCAUGUUCCCUGCAAAAGUGGAGAGACUCAGGUCUGUGUCAAAGUGAUAUUGCAAAAAUGAGAUAAAGAGUUCUCCUCCUGGUUGUUAAUUACCCUGCACAUUCCACAGAACUGAUGAAGUUUGCA